AAAAAUACAGUAAUAAAAAAAAAAUAAUAAUAAUAAUAAUAAAUGAGCGCUGCACAACCCAAAAAAUUAAUUCGGAUGGUGAGGCCAAGUGUAUUUGUGCUAAUUAAUUUCUUAUCUAUAAUCGGCUUCUCAUCUUUUGCAAGGUCUAUGAAUCAAAUUUCGCUUCAUCUAAACACAUGCAAGUGAUGCAAGUACUGGAAUCUCGAGCUCAAUUACAUUCAAAUGCCAAACGCAGAAUAUUGUAUGGACAUGAAGUUGCUCGACACUGUCAAAACCAUCAAGACUUUCCUCCUGGAUGCCGACUCCAAGUGCCUAGAGCUCACUAAUGAAGGGCAAAACUGGGUUGAGAACCUCAAGGAUGCUGUCUAUGAUGCUGAUGAUUUGAUGGAUGAGUUUAACACAAUCGCUAACAUGCCUGGCGCAAAUAAAAUCUCUAAGAAGGUACGCCGUUUCUUCUCCCCUAAGAACCAAAUGAUAUUUGCUUUUAAUACGUCUUCAGAGGUUAAGAAACUUAGGGAGAAGUUGGAUAGCUUAGCCAAAAACCAUAGUAAUUUUGGGUUUAGUGACCUGUAUAAGCCUGAUGUGAAGGUUAAAAAGGAAACCUGUUCUUAUGUGUAUGAACAGAAUAUUAUUGGGAGAUAUGUUGACAAGAAGGUCAUUGUGGAUUUGUUGUUGAAAGAUGACUUGGAGACAAAUAUUUCUUUUGUGACUAUUGUGGGGAUUGGAGGGUUGGGGAAAACCGCUCUUGCUCAACUUGUGUUUAGUGAUCUUAGGAUAAAAGAAGCAUUUGAAGAAAAUAUGUACUGGGUUUGUGUGUCUGUAAACUUUGAUACAAAAGAUAUCCUAGGUAAGAUACUUAAGGAGAAUAAUGGGUUAGGCUUUGAAGACAUGCACAAAAACUUUCGAGAACGGAUAGAAGGGAAAAGGUACUUGCUUGUUUUGGAUGAUGUAUGGUCUGAGAACAGUGAAAUAUGGGUUAAGUUGAAAGAUUUCUUGAUAUUAGGUGGGACAGGAAGUAGGAUUUUGGUGACUAGCCGCUCCAAAAAGGUGGCAAGAGCUAUUGGAAACUAUCCAAUACAUGAGUUAGAAGGUCUCUCUGAAGAGGAUUCUUGGGAAUUGUUUAAGAAAAUAUCUCUUGCAGAUAGGGAAGAUGAAGUCGUAACUGGCCUAGCUGAAAUCGGCAAAGAUAUUGUGAUAAAAUGUGCAAAUGUGCCUCUUUGCAUAAGGGUGGUAGCUAGUUUGUUGCGUGAUCAAGAUUUAACUGCUUGGCAGUCAUAUAGAAGAAUGGAUUUGGCUAAUAUGCGUGGCGACGAUGAUGUCUUGAUGCAAACCUUGAUGUUUAGUUACUAUCAUCUUGAUCCCGCGGUAAGAUGUUGUUUCAGCUUUUGCUCAGUCUUCCCUCAGGAUUAUAGAAUACAUAAAGAGAAGUUGAUUAGUCUAUGGUCAGCACACGGCUAUCUUGUUCCAAGUGGUACAGAAGAUAGCAUUGAAGAUGUAGGUGAAAGAUAUUUUUCAAUUUUAUUGCAUCGAUGUGUUUUCCAAGAUUUGUGUUAUGAAUGUAGGGGAGUUACAACAUUCAAAAUGCAUGAUCUCAUGCAUGACCUUGCUCAAAAGAUAGCUGGGAAGGAGUCCUUGACAUUGACUGCUUCUAAUACACAUGAAGUUGAAGGAAAAGUUCGUCAUCUGUAUAUUGAUGAUAGAAAAGAAUAUCUAGAUAACUUGUUAAGUUAAAGUAAUAGUCCAAGUAAAGCACUGCGUAGCUGUUUGAUAAAUUAUGAUAUUCUUAUAGAUGUGAAUGCAGUUAUUUCAAAGUGUAGCCAGUUAAGGGUGUUGGAUUUGCAGUAUCAGUUGACUAGCAACACUUUAUUACCUGAUACACUAGGUAGCUUAUUACAUUUGAGGUACCUUGAUCUGUCUUUUAAUAAUGAUUUGGUGAUGCUUCCUAAAUCGAUCACCAAGCUUUACAAUUUGCAAACAUUAAUUUUGUUUAGUUGUGAGAAUCUGAAGGAGUUGCCUAAGGACACAAGCAAACUGGUAAAUCUUAGGGUGUUGGAUAUAAAGUUUUGUUAAUCUUAGGGUACAUUAACAUGUCUUCAGACUCUGACAAACUUUCUAGUUUUUAGGGAUGAUGAAGUCAAGCAAGAUAAAAAGGGCAAGCUCGUAGACUUGAAAGCUCUUAUUAGUAAACUCAGAGGUGAGCUUCAUGUUAAACAUAUUGCUAACUAUAACGAUGUGCCAUACCACAAACAAGUGAGGGUCCAGCUUCAAACUUUUAAAUUAUUUUGUGAACUUGAGUCUUAUCAUGAAGAAGGUCAAGAGACACUGCUGGAGGCCCUGUUCUUUAAGCACCAAUUGCCAACUUGGGCGUCAGGGCUUGUACGUAUCUACAUGUCAAAUUGUCAUGAGUUGCAAUAUCUGCCAUCAUCACUGAGUCAACUUUGCCAUCUUAGAAAACUUUUCAUUUAUAACUUAGACAAUGUGGAGUACAUAGAGAGCGAUGCACCAUCCCCAUCUGCAAAAUUCUUCCCGUCUCUUGAGGUAUUAACUCUAAGUGGAAUGCCAAAGUUAAUGGGAUGGUGGAGAGAUAUAAGAUGGACGGACAAGGAAGCUGUUUUCAUUCCAUCAUUUCCUCAUCUCCGUAAAUUGACUAUUCAAGAGUGCAAGAGACUGGCGUACUUUCCUCCAUGUCAACAUGAAGCACUGAAAUUAUGUAUGAAUGGAGGUGGAGUUCAAAGCAAACCGAUUUAUUUAAAGCGCUUUACUAUAGAUGAUGCAUUCAUUUUCAAUUUCUUAAGUAUGGAGUAUGUGGGAAUAGCUCGUUAUAUUGAAUUAGUUAAAAUAGAAAAUUUGGGACAAAUUAGGGAGGUAUUACAAAGCUGUGCCUCUUCUCUUCAAGACCUCAAAAUUAGUUACUGCAGGGGAAUACAGAACCUGGGAUUAGAGCAUCUCACCAACCUAAAAUCCCUCAAGUUGGGAGGCAAUUUAGACGGGAUUCCAUGGGAAUCUCUUCACUCUCUUCCUUCAUUGAAAAUAGAAUAUUUCAAAGCCGGAAUGCUGCCCAAGGGGGUUCAAUACUUAACCUCCCUUCAAUCCCUCUAUCUUUGCAGUUGUAAAAACUUGGAGGAACUUGGCAAAUGCAUCGCCUCCCUUACAUCUCUGCAAUUUCUUCAAAAUCAGUUCUGCCGCAAACUGAAAUCAUUGCCUGAAGAAAUGUGUUACCUCACCUCCCUCACUACACUUGAACUAGAAUAUUGCCGUGAACUGAAAUCACUGCCAAAAGCAAUAAAACACCUCACCAACCUCACUAAACUUGAAAUCCUAGAGCCUAACCCUGAGCUCACGUAUAGAUGCCGGAAAUCAAACGGGGAAUACUGGCCCAAUAUAUGCCACAUCCCAAAACUACGUAUUCGAGAUUAAGAGAUUCAACCAAGAUAAGCAUAGUACUCAAGGAGUCAAGCUGUAAAGGUAUGAAAAUUGUAAUCUUUAAAAUGACUAUCACUAUUCAAUUUAAUUGGCUGAUUUUUCAUUUGUUUUUUGUAGGUCUAACUUGAUUUUAGAUUUUUUGAUAAAAUUCAGCUUUAUUAUUUCGAAAAUUAAUUAUUUUAAUUUUACAUUUUUAAUUUUGAUAAUUAAUUUAUUAAAUUUAGUAUGAUUAUCGAAAUGAAAGAUUAUAUUCAGGAAGUUAAAUUUAAAAUUAACCGAGAAGAUUACAUGGGCCAUUCCAUUUGGUAUCUGAUGCAUCUAUCAAACUGAAUUUUUUUUUUUCUGCAUUAAAAUUUGAAGUCUAGUGAUAAUCUUGCUAGGAAACCCUUGCUUUCUCACAUUAAGCUGCUUUAUCAAAUUUGUGACUUCAGCUGAAGAUUAUAUUGUGUGCAUGUCCUUUUCUAGUUUUGUUGCAGCUCCCAAAAUGGUUAGAUGGAGAUGUGCUUAGAUGAUCACAGAUUUUAUAGCUCGAAGAAAAACCUUGGGAUUAUGUCGGUGUGUAAUCCUUUUUACCCUUAAGAAAAAGGAGAAAAAGAAAAUACAUAAAUUGAGGAUAUUGACUUGAAAAAUACGGUCUUCUUUAUUGUAUAAAUGGAUAACUCCUUUCUUGCGAUAUUUCAGAGAGAUUCCUUGGCUAGUUAAUGUUGAGUGUUGCUCAAUCCGACAGGUGAGUGGUCUGUAGACUUGACUGAUUGUCUGGUUUGGCAUUGGUUGAAGUAUACAUUGGAAUAGCGAGAAGAUGGGCCAGUCUGAAGGUUGCUGUUGUGAUUAUAAUAAUUAUUCUUAAGAGAUUGGUUGGAGAUGCGCGAUGUAGGUAAAUAUAUGUUACUACUUAUUAUCUAGAAAUGCAGGCUUCUCUUCCUUAAAAAAUUGAUUGCAGCAACUUAAAUAUUGCAGUGCCUCAACCCAGAGAUGCUCCUAUAUGCUCAAAACCUUUGAGCUUAUAUAAUUCCAAAGAACAUGUACUUUCACUUGAAUUUGGUUUUCAUGUAUUUACAUUGACUCAGAUUUUGUGGCCACUUCUGCUACAUUCAUCUCAACAUUACGGGGUGUAACUCUUCCCAUACUGUACGAGUAGAAAUUUAACAUUAACGAAAACAUGCAGUCCAGCUGCAUGCACACAAAAAAUUAAUAUAUCAUUGUUGGUUUUGUGCAAUUUCUGACAUUGAAUUUUUAGUGGGAAAUGGUGUAGAUAUGUCACAUUUUCAGAUUGAACCAAGAGACUCAAGAUUGCUUUUUAUGAUCUAUAACUGUCCAAAA